rnacentral:rRNA from 1 species
AUUGAACGCUGGCGGCAUGCCUUACACAUGCAAGUCGAACGGUAACAGGUCUUCGGAUGCUGACGAGUGGCGAACGGGUGCGUAAUACAUCGGAACGUGCCCGAUCGUGGGGGAUAACGGAGCGAAAGCUUUGCUAAUACCGCAUACGAUCUACGGAUGAAAGCAGGGGACCGCAAGGCCUUGCGCGGACGGAGCGGCCGAUGGCAGAUUAGGUAGUUGGUGGGAUAAAAGCUUACCAAGCCGACGAUCUGUAGCUGGUCUGAGAGGACGACCAGCCACACUGGGACUGAGACACGGUCCAGACUCCUACGGGAGGCAGCAGUGGGGAAUUUUGGACAAUGGGCGAAAGCCUGAUCCAGCCAUGCCGCGUGCAGGAUGAAGGCCUUCGGGUUGUAAACUGCUUUUGUACGGAACGAAAAGACUCUUUCUAAUAAAGAGGGUCCAUGACGGUACCGUAAGAAUAAGCACCGGCUAACUACGUG